UGGAUACACUUAGUGGCGGACGGGUGAGUAACGCGUGGGUACCUGCCUCACACUGGGGGAUAACAGUUAGAAAUAGCUGCUAAUACCGCAUAAGUCCGCAUGGAAAAAACUCCGGUGGUGUGAGAUGGACCCGCGUCUGAUUAGCCAGUUGGCGGGGUAACGGCCCACCAAAGCGACGAUCAGUAGCCGGCCUGAGAGGGUGAACGGCCACAUUGGGACUGAGACACGGCCCAAACUCCUACGGGAGGCAGCAGUGGGGAAUAUUGCACAAUGGGGGAAACCCUGAUGCAGCAACGCCGCGUGAGUGAAGAAGUAUUUCGGUAUGUAAAGCUCUAUCAGCAGGGAAGAAAAUGACGGUACCUGACUAAGAAGCCCCGGCUAACUACGUGCCAGCAGCCGCGGUAAUACGUAGGGGGCAAGCGUUAUCCGGAUUUACUGGGUGUAAAGGGAGCGUAGACGGCGAGACAAGUCUGAAGUGAAAGCCCGGGGCUCAACCCCCGGACUGCUUUGGAAACUGCCUUGCUGGAGUGUCGGAGAGGUAAGUGGAAUUCCUAGUGUAGCGGUGAAAUGCGUAGAUAUUAGGAGGAACACCAGUGGCGAAGGCGGCUUACUGGACGAUAACUGACGUUGAGGCUCGAGAGC
rnacentral:rRNA from 1 species